UACGAAGGGAGCUAGCGUUGUUCGGAAUCACUGGGCGUAAAGCGCACGUAGGCGGAUGUGUCAGUCAGGGGUGAAAUCCCGGGGCUCAACCUCGGAACUGCCUUUGAUACAGCACAUCUUGAGUCCGGAAGAGGUGGGUGGAAUUCCUAGUGUAGAGGUGAAAUUCGUAGAUAUUAGGAUGAACACCGGUGGCGAAGGCGGCCCACUGGUCCGGUACUGACGCUGAGGUGCGAAAGCGUGGGGAGCAAACAGG
rnacentral:rRNA from 1 species